GCUUAACACAUGCAAGUCGAGUGCGCGUCUGUAGCAAUACAGAUGGCGCACGGCGCACGGGUGCGUAACACGUGGGUAAUCUGCCCUUCGAAGGGGAAUAACUCGCCGAAAGGCGAGCUAAUUCCGCAUAACAUUCCGAGAACCUUGGUUUUUGGAUCCAAAGGCGUAAGUCGUCGGAGGAGGAGCCCGCGCACGAUUAGCUAGUUGGUAGGGUAACGGCCUACCAAGGCUAUGAUCGUUAGCUGGUCUGAGAGGAUGGCCAGCCACACUGGAACUGAGACACGGUCCAAACUCCUACGGGAGGCAGCAGUGGGGAAUCUUGCACAAUGGGCGAAAGCCUGAUGCAGCGACGCCGCGUGGGGGAUGAA
rnacentral:rRNA from 1 species